GUAAACACAGGCCGAGGUGGUCAGUUAAGAAUUCACCUGGCCUGUGAGUCGGUGCACGGGGGCUGUGCAGGAUAAUUCCCCAAGUCGCAGUACAGGAACGGAUAAAGCAGGAGAAUCGAUGUGGGAAGCCAAAGGUCAGAGGAUGCCAUAAAUCAGAAUAAACAAAACAACAAGCCAUGGUCAAGAGUAAACUGGAGAACACAAAACAGCAGUAUGAUCACCAGAGUCAAGGAACUGACCCUGCCUUCUGGGAGAGGCAGGGUUAUAUACCUGGCUAAUGAGACCAUCAAUAUCAGGUGUACCAGGAGUAACAGGAGUAAUUCCAAUACAUGUUCAGCCCCCAGUGCUGGAUACAAGACAGGGCUAGAUACUGACAAGCUGAAUAGUGGCUUAGAGGUAACAUGACAGCCCCAGGAAUGCAAAGCUGUCAUGCCUGGCACUCCAGAAAUUACAGUGGGAACCGUGACAGUGU